rnacentral:misc_RNA from 1 species
ACGACACAAGCCAAGACAUAGUAUCUGUAUACUAUGAUCACUUUGUUGCUGGAAUUGGUUACAGGAUGGUCCAAAUGAAUGCAAAGGUUUAAGUGGAGUUUUACAGCAUGCGCAGACAUCAUCUUCUUUAACAGAGGGAAAGACAGUGCAAGCAAAGUCAAGUUGUGUUGUCCUAUGUAUAUAUUGCAGUAUAUUUGUGCUUUUGCACUUUGAAUUAAUCAAUUUUGAAAGCUUUCUUCCUGUAUUUCAAUCUGCUUCAAUUUAUCUUAUUGAUAAUUAAUAUCCCUAAGAGAAACUGCCUUUAUAAUUUUGUUCACAUAUGAUGAUUGUUGAAAGUUGAACUUUCUUGAACAAUUAAUAAAAAUUGAAAAUUGUCUACUUUUGUAUUGUGCAAUAGCUUUUAAUCACAUGAAAAUGAGAUACAAACUAAUUAUUAUCAGAAUAAAGUGAUUUUUUAAUUAUUUAUUCUAAUCUUUAAUAACGCGAUCUGCAUCUUU